AGGACUUAGUAUCAUUAGAACACAGG
rnacentral:piRNA from 1 species